UACGGGGGGGGCAAGCGUUGUUCGGAAUUACUGGGCGUAAAGGGCUCGUAGGUGGCGCUGUAAGUCGGGUGUGAAAUUUCGGAGCUUAACUCCGAAACUGCAUUCGAUACUGCGGUGCUUGAGGACUGGAGAGGAGACUGGAAUUCAUGGUGUAGCAGUGAAAUGCGUAGAGAUCAUGAGGAAGACCAGUGGCGAAGGCGGGUCUCUGGACAGUUCCUGACACUGAGGCACGAAGGCCAGGGGAGCAAACGGG
rnacentral:rRNA from 1 species